CAGCAGGGGCGGGCAGCGUACCAUGCAGUCGAGCGGUAGCACAGAGAGCUUGCUCUCGGGUGACGAGCGGCGGACGGGUGAGUAAUGUCUGGGAAACUGCCUGAUGGAGGGGGAUAACUACUGGAAACGGUAGCUAAUACCGCAUAAUGUCGCAAGACCAAAGUGGGGGACCUUCGGGCCUCAUGCCAUCAGAUGUGCCCAGAUGGGAUUAGCUAGUAGGUGGGGUAACGGCUCACCUAGGCGACGAUCCCUAGCUGGUCUGAGAGGAUGACCAGCCACACUGGAACUGAGACACGGUCCAGACUCCUACGGGAGGCAGCAGUGGGGAAUAUUGCACAAUGGGCGCAAGCCUGAUGCAGCCAUGCCGCGUGUGUGAAGAAGGCCUUCGGGUUGUAAAGCACUUUCAGCGGGGAGGAAGGCGUUAAGGUUAAUAACCUUGGCGAUUGACGUUACCCGCAGAAGAAGCACCGGCUAACUCCGUGCCAGCAGCCGCGGUAAUACGGAGGGUGCAAGCGUUAAUCGGAAUUACUGGGCGUAAAGCGCACGCAGGCGGUCUGUCAAGUCGGAUGUGAAAUCCCCGGGCUCAACCUGGGAACUGCAUUCGAAACUGGCAGGCUAGAGUCUUGUAGAGGGGGGUAGAAUUCCAGGUGUAGCGGUGAAAUGCGUAGAGAUCUGGAGGAAUACCGGUGGCGAAGCGGCCCCCUGGACAAAGACUGACGCUCAGUGCGAAAGCGUGGGGAGCAAACAGGAUUAGAUACCCUGGUAGUCCACGCCGUAAACGAUGUCGAUUUGGAGGUUGUGCCCUUGAGGCGUGGCUUCCGGAGCUAACGCGUUAAAUCGACCGCCUGGGGAGUACGGCCGCAAGGUUAAAACUCAAAUGAAUUGACGGGGGCCCGCACAAGCGGUGGAGCAUGUGGUUUAAUUCGAUGCAACGCGAAGAACCUUACCUGGUCUUGACAUCCACAGAACUUUCCAGAGAUGGAUUGGUGCCUUCGGAACUGUGAGACAGUGCUGCAUGCUGUCGUCAGCUCGUGUGUGAAUGUUGGGGUUAAGUCCCGCACGAGCGCAACCCUUAUCUUGUUGCAGCGUCGCGGACCUCAAGGAGACUGCAAUGAUUACUGAAGAAGUGGGGAUUGAACGUCAGUCAUCAUGGUCCCUACGAACAGCUAACACGUGCUACAUUGGCCUAUACAAGAGAAAGCGAAUACUUCGUCUAG
rnacentral:rRNA from 1 species